CUGCGGUGUGGGAACUCCGGUGAGAAUCCGGGACGGUCGCGCCACUGUGAGUCCCGUGCAGGUACGGGGCGAGUCAGGUCGCACGCCGCAG
rnacentral:ncRNA from 1 species